AACGAGCGCUGGCGGCAGGCUUAACACAUGCAAGUCGAACGCCCCGCAAGGGGAGUGGCAGACGGGUGAGUAACGCGUGGGAACAUGCCCAAAGGUACGGAACAACUCCGGGAAACUGGAGCUAAUACCGUAUGUGACCGAGAGGUGAAAGAUUUAUCGCCUUUGGAUUGGCCCGCGUUGGAUUAGCUAGUUGGUGGGGUAAAGGCCUACCAAGGCGACGAUCCAUAGCUGGUCUGAGAGGAUGAUCAGCCACACUGGGACUGAGACACGGCCCAGACUCCUACGGGAGGCAGCAGUGGGGAAUAUUGGACAAUGGGCGCAAGCCUGAUCCAGCCAUGCCGCGUGAGUGAUGAAGGCCUUAGGGUUGUAAAGCUCUUUCGCCAGGGACGAUAAUGACGGUACCUGGAUAAGAAGCCCCGGCUAACUUCGUGCCAGCAGCCGCAGUAAUAC
rnacentral:rRNA from 1 species